rnacentral:tRNA from 1 species
CAGGGGGACAAACAAUUGAUUGUGAUGUCUAGGUAUCUUAUUCUUAGGCCUCAAUCCUGUCACCUUAGGUCGAUCGGUACCUCAGAUUUAUGAAUUAGUUUUAUAAUUAAUCCUUGAAUUUCAGUUUCUAAACUUGUCUAGGUCACACCCAACAAGGGUUUCUCCUGGGCCAUUAGCUCAGGUGGUUAGAGCGCACCCCUGAUAAGGGUGAGGUCCCUGGUUCAAGUCCAGGAUGGCCCAUUCGUUGUUGGGGGUAUGGCUCAGUUGGUAGAGCGCCUGCUUUGCAAGCAGGAUGUCAGCGGUUCGAGUCCGCUUACCUCCACUGAAAACUACCCUGAUAACUAAUUUCAGGAGAAAAUUGGUAAAUGUGACUUAGAUUUGUCUAUUUGAAAAGAACCCAGCUUCUUAUCAUCUUUUUAGAGUUGAUAAUAUGCUGGGCUCACAUGGAAAUUUCCAUGAGAAUUCAGUAGAACCUUGAAAACUGCAUAGAUUGAAAGAAUAAAGCAUCUCAUGGAUGCAUAAUUCUGAAUGAUUUUUAGAUUAAAAACUAAAUAAUCAAAUAUUCAGAAUUCAUGUUUAAUUCUUGAGUAAAAGCCGAGCACAAUUAAUUUUGUGAUUGUAUUUAA